rnacentral:rRNA from 1 species
UGGGGAAUUUUGCACAAUGGGCGCAAGCCUGAUGCAGCGACGCCGCGUGAGGGAUGAAGGCCUUCGGGUUGUAAACCUUUUUCGCUCAUGGUCAAGCCGCAGCUUUGGGUUGUGGUGAGGGUAGUGGGUAAAGAAGCGCCGGCUAACUACGUGCCAGCAGCCGCGGUAAUACGUAGGGCGCGAGCGUUGUCCGGAAUUAUUGGGCGUAAAGGGCUUGUAGGCGGUUGGCCGCGUCUGCCGUGAAAUCCUCUGGCUUAACUGGGGGCGUGCGGUGGGUACGGGUUGACUUGAGUGCGGUAGGGGAGACUGGAAUUCCUGGUGUAGCGGUGGAAUGCGCAGAUAUCAGGAGGAACACCGGUGGCGAAGGCGGGUCUCUGGGCCGUUACUGACGCUGCGGAGCGAAAGCGUGGGGAGCGAACAGG